rnacentral:ribozyme from 17 species
AGAUAAAGAGUUGACUUGAUACAGUACAAGUAUGAAUCUAUCUAACUCUUUUUUUUUUUUUUUUUUUUUUAUAUUUUAUUUUUUCUUCUUUUUGGUUUGUUUUUU